rnacentral:piRNA from 1 species
UAUCAACAAAGAAUAAUGCACAGGGCUUC